GCUUGUCUCAAAGAUUAAGCCAUGCAUGUCUAAGUAUAAACAAAUUUAUAGUGAAACUGCGAAUGGCUCAUUAUAUCAGUUAUAGUUUAUUUGGCGAUAAAAACUACUUGGAUAACCGUAGUAAUUCUAGAGCUAAUACAUGCAUCAUCCCCCAUCUCGGGGUGUAUUUAUUAGAUUGAAACCAAUGCGGGUUCCCCGGUAUUUGGUGAUUCAUAAUAACUUUCGGAUCGACUUCGGUCGAUGCAUCAUUCAAGUUUCUGCCCUAUCAGCUUUGGAUGGUAGGGUAUUGGCCUACCAUGGCUUUAACGGGUAACGGAGAAUUAGGGUUCGAUUCCGGAGAGGGAGCCUGAGAGACGGCUACCACAUCCAAGGAAGGCA
rnacentral:rRNA from 1 species